UCCUACGGGGGGCAGCAGUGGGGAAUAUUGCACAAUGGGCGAAAGCCUGAUGCAGCAACGCCGCGUGAGUGAUGAAGGCCUUCGGGUUGUAAAGCUCUGUCUUUGGGGACGAUUAUGACGGUACCCAAGGAGGAAGCCACGGCUAACUACGUGCCAGCAGCCGCGGUAAUACGUAGGUGGCAAGCGUUGUCCGGAUUUACUGGGCGUAAAGGAUGCGUAGGCGGAUAUUUAAGUCAGAUGUGAAAUACCCGAGCUUAACUUGGGUGCUGCAUUUGAAACUGGAUAUCUAGAGUGUGGGAGAGGAAAGUGGAAUUCCUAGUGUAGCGGUGAAAUGCGUAGAGAUUAGGAAGAACACCAGUGGCGAAGGCGACUUUCUGGACCAUAACUGACGCUGAGGCAUGAAAGCGUGGGGAGCAAACAGGAUUAGAUACCCCUGUAGUCCA
rnacentral:rRNA from 1 species